rnacentral:misc_RNA from 1 species
CCUUUUUAGAGCUUGAACAACAUUCCUGUAGCGUCAACUAAAACCAUUGCUUCUUAGAUAGGUGCAAUACAAUUACAUGAAGUUCAGAGCACAUGGAUGCUUGCAAGACACUUAAAGAGUUGACCCCAAACAUUCAAAUUUCUAAAGUAACAUAUUAUCCGUAUGUUGGUGAUUUGUUCCUUUGUCUCUGAUCACUCGUCAACAUGUUUAUUGAGUACAAUACAUUAACAACACACAUCCCCACAGAUACAUAAACAAUUUUUUGUGAACGCAGGAAGGAAUACAGUAUUGCUUAUUUACAAAGCCAAGACAAAAUGAACAAUUCGAGUGUUAGGCUCACCUCAACUAGGUUAUACUUAUCCAGGAGCCAGUCUUUUAGGCAAGAUGCCUAUUGAAAGCUUCACAAUAUCAGAUAUUUUAGAAUCAUCCUGAUCUACCAAAGAAAAAGAAAUUGUUAGCUAGAAAAUGCAACAUUAUUAAACUACACAAAAAAAAAGAAAGUUCAAAAUGAGUAAGCAUGCAAACUUAACCAAUGAUGACAAAAUGUAGUUUAACCAAUGAUAACAAAAUGUAGUUCCAAUUUGCCUCAUUAUGGACAUAUAGAAGUGAGUCAUCCAGAAAAGAUUAUUUGGUUUGAUGGUUCCAAAAUAUAUGCCCAUUUUCACCUAGUCAAAAAAAAUUUUUAGAAUGGUGAUGCAGUCCAAGAAGACUCAAAUUGGCAGUCAUGUUAAACUUUCAUUGCAAAAUUAGGAAGUUUAGAGUUCUAUUAUUUAGGAAUUCUAUUAUUAUUAUUUAGGAAUAUUAGGUUUACUAUUUUCCUAGUUAGUAAUGGUUUAGUGUUUUCCUAUUUUGGGAUUCCUAUUC